rnacentral:lncRNA from 1 species
CAGAGCUUCAGAUUAGCAAGAAGCCCUGCAGUUACUGGAGCGUAGCGAAGGGUUUUGAGCAGGGGAUCAGCACCUGCUUUUCGGCUUUCAUUGGAGUUUCUCUUCAGCCAUCAGAAGAGUAAAGGAAAACCAGAAACUGCCAUCAGAAUGAGCAGCAUGAUUAUACAUCAGUAACAAGCAAAUUGCUUGUCAAAAAGGGGACCCUUCACUUAAUGCUGCUCCUUUGAAAUAAAAGUAUCUCCAACAGCUCUGAAGUUCAAGGAUAUGUUCUCAGUUGGUGUGAGCACCGAGCAGACCAGGAGCUAAGGACUUUUAUGAUUGAUAGACCAAACGUACCACCAUCUGAAGGGUAUAGCUCAGUAGCCAUUUUCAGAGCAUGACUACAGGAAAAGACCCUGAACUGCUGCAACUGUUCAUCUCAGAUUAUGUGAUAGGAAGAAGAAAAAGAAGAGGAAGAAAGAUAGGAAGAAGAAAAAACAUCAAAACAACAAAUAAAACCUAGCCUAGCUUUCCUCAUAUUGACCAAAUUAGGAUUCUUUUUCUGUGUCACGUAACAUUUAUCUUUUUAUAGAGCAGUGACAAUUAUAUGGCUUUUCCUUUGUCUCGUCUUGGCUAUACUGCGGUGAUUUGCAACAAAACUGAUGUUUAUAUAUUCAUUUUCACUCCAAGAGCAGGCUGCUGCUGUGUCUGAAAGAAACGUUUAAACUUCUCGUUUGUCAUUUUUCUAUUGUUUUUGGUUGGAUUUUUUUAUUUUUUUAUUUUUUGCUUUUUGGUGUUUUUUUUCCUAUGUCUCUUUUGUUGUUGUCUGUCAUAUUGGCUCCCUACUUCAGUAUUUAUUAUUCUUUACACUUUUUUUUUUCCCUACAGCACAGCAUUUCAUCUCAGAUGACUGUUUGACCACAGUGUUUCUCUGUAAAAGACGCAUGUAGCAGUUUUGAAAAGUCUACUUAGGUCUUACCACCUAUUUUAUCAGCUAAAAUGCUGAAGGUUAUGCUUAGAUUUCAUAUAUAUAUAUAUA